rnacentral:rRNA from 1 species
GACGAACGCUGGCGGCGUGCCUAACACAUGCAAGUCGAACGAGCGAGUGAGAGCUUGCUUUCUUGAGCGAGUGGCGAACGGGUGAGUAACGCGUGAGGAACCUGCCACAAAGAGGGGGAGAACAGAUGGAAACGACUGCUAAUACCGCAUAAGACCACGCUGCCGCAUGGCACAGAGGGAAAAGGAGCCAUCCGCUUUGAGAUGGCCUCGAGUCCGAUUAGCUAGCUGGUGAGGUAACGGGCCACCAAGGCGACGACCGGUAGCCGGACUGAGAGGGUGGACGGCCACAACGGGAAUGAGGCACGGCCCAGGAUCCUACGGGAAGGAGGAGUGGGGAAUAUUGGAAAAUUGGGCAAACGCUGAUGCAGCGACGCCGGGGGGAGGGAGGAGGUCUUCGGAGUGGAAACUCCUGUUGUCGGGGGAGAUAAAGACCGUACCCGACAAGGAAGUGACGGCUAACUACGUG